rnacentral:rRNA from 1 species
CCCGACUACAUGAAGCUGGAAUCGCUAGUAAUCGCGGAUCAGAAUGCCGCGGUGAAUACGUUCCCGGGUCUUGUACACACCGCCCGUCACACCAUGGGAGUCGGAAAUGCCCGAAGUCUGUGACCUAACCGUAAGGAAGGAGCAGCCGAAGGCAGGUCGGAUGACUGGGGUGAAGUCGUAACAAGGUAUC